rnacentral:misc_RNA from 1 species
GAUGAAGAACGCAGCAAAAUACGAUAAGUAAUGUGAAUUGCAGAAUUCAGUGAAUCAUCGAAUCUUUGAACGCACAUUGCGCCCGCUGGUAUUCCGGCGGGCAUGCCUGUUCGAGCGUCAUUUCAACCCUCAAGCCCCCGGGUUUGGUGUUGGGGAUCGGCUCUGCCCUUCUGGGCGGUGCCGCCCCCGAAAUACAUUGGCGGUCUCGCUGCAGCCUCCAUUGCGUAGUAGCUAACACCUCGCAACUGGAACGCGGCGCGGCCAUGCCGUAAAACCCCAACUUCUGAAUGUUGACCUCGGAUCAGGUAGGAAUACCCGCUGAACUUAAGCAUAUCAAUAAGCGGAGGA